GGGUAAAACUUCUAAAUUCAUCAAGACACCGGCAUUGGUCUAUUUAUUCAUUGGAAGUUUGUGAAGCAUAUUGAGAAGAAAUGUUUGCUCGUCUGAACGUUUGCCUGUUGCUGAUUGUAUUUGUGGCAGUUUUUGCUGUGAAUGGACGUACUGUGGAAAGACGGGGUUCUCAACCAAACAAAAGAGAGUUGAAUGAGAAAAACAUGAUCUGCGAUGGUCUGAGUGGCUAUUGCACUCCUCGGCAAUUAUCCUGCAAUAUCUACCCCAUUGGUGCAGUAGAUUGCGAAAGGGAUUGCGAAGAUCCUCAAAUGCGAUGUUGUUGCGUUUUGGUUUAAAUACCGAUGAAGCCUACAAGUUGAUCAUGAUAAAUUAAAUAAUAUCGAUAGUGGAACAUAGUAAAGUAUAUUAGCACAGAUAACGAAGGAAAUGCAUAGGUAGACUUGUAGAAACAAAACGAGCAAUUAAAACU